UUUUAAAUAAAAUAUUUGAUCCUUUCGUACUAAAAUAUUUUUUUAUAUAAAAGAUAGAAACCAACCUGGCUUACACCGGUUUAAACUCAGAUCAUGUAAAAUUUUAAAGGUCGAACAGACCUAAAAUUUUAGCUUCUACACCAAAAUUAAAUUUUAAUCCAACAUCGAGGUCGCAAUCUUUUUUUUCAAUAAGAACUCUCAAAAAAAAUUACGCUGUUAUCCCUAAGGUAAUUUUUUCUUUUAAUCAUUUUUAUGGAUCAAAAAUUCAUUAAUUAAUGGUUUUAUUAAAAAAAAGUUUUUUAAAUUUUUUAGUCACCCCAACUCAAUUUUAAAAAAUUAUUAUUAUACACAAUCCUUAAAUAAAAAUAAACUUCCUAAAAUUAAACUCUAUAGGGUCUUCUCGUCUUUUUAUAAAAUUUAAGCUUUUUUACUUAAAAAUAAAAUUCUAAAAAAUUAAUAUUGAGACAGAAAUUCUCUCAUCAAACCAUUCAUUCAAGCUUUCAAUUAAAAAACUAAUGAUUAUGCUACCUUUGCACAGUCAAAAUACUGCGGCCCUUUAAUUAAUCAGUGGGCAGGCCCAACUUUAAAUUAUUUUC
rnacentral:rRNA from 1 species